rnacentral:rRNA from 1 species
CCUACGGGAGGCAGCAGUAAGGAAUAUUGGUCAAUGGAGGCAACUCUGAACCAGCCAUGCCGCGUGCAGGAAGACUGCCCUAUGGGUUGUAAACUGCUUUUAUCCGGGAAUAACCUGCUUACGUGUAAGUGGCUGAAUGUACCGGAAGAAUAAGGAUCGGCUAACUCCGUGCCAGCAGCCGCGGUAAUACGGAGGAUCCAAGCGUUAUCCGGAUUUAUUGGGUUUAAAGGGUGCGUAGGCGGCCUGUUAAGUCAGGGGUGAAAGACGGUAGCUCAACUAUCGCAGUGCCCUUGAUACUGAUGGGCUUGAAUGGACUAGAGGUAGGCGGAAUGAGACAAGUAGCGGUGAAAUGCAUAGAUAUGUCUCAGAACACCGAUUGCGAAGGCAGCUUACUAUGGUCUUAUUGACGCUGAGGCACGAAAGCGUGGGGAUCAAACAGGAUUAGAUACCCUGGUAGUCCACGCCCUAAACGAUGAACACUCGCUGUUGGCGANACACANCAGCGCGAGACGAAGAGUAGUAGUCACGNGGAGACGCCGCGAGAGAAGUAAGAAGAGUAGAGAGAGAGAGCGACGACGACGACGAGGAGGGAGGAG